AGUGAACGCUGGCGGUAGGCCUAACACAUGCAAGUCGAACGGCAGCACAGUAAGAGCUUGCUCUUACGGGUGGCGAGUGGCGGACGGGUGAGGAAUACAUCGGAAUCUACUUUUUCGUGGGGGAUAACGUAGGGAAACUUACGCUAAUACCGCAUACGACCUACGGGUGAAAGCAGGGGAUCUUCGGACCCUGCGCGAUUGAAUGAGCCGAUGUCGGAUUAGCUAGUUGGCGGGGUAAAGGCCCACCAAGGCGACGAUCCGUAGCUGGUCUGAGAGGAUGAUCAGCCACACUGGAACUGAGACACGGUCCAGACUCCUACGGGAGGCAGCAGUGGGGAAUAUUGGACAAUGGGCGCAAGCCUGAUCCAGCCAUACCGCGUGGGUGAAGAAGGCCUUCGGGUUGUAAAGCCCUUUUGUUGGGAAAGAAAAGCAGCAGGUUAAUACCCCGCUGUUCUGACGGUACCCAAAGAGUAAGCACCGGCUAACUUCGUG
rnacentral:rRNA from 1 species